UACGUAGGGGGCAAGCGUUAUCCGGAUUUAUUGGGCGUAAAGAGCUCGUAGGGGGCUGAUCGCGUCGGUUGUGAAAGCUCAGGGCUCAACCCUGAGACGCCAAUCGAUACGGAUCGGCUAGAGGUAGGUAGGGGAAAGUGGAAUUCCUGGUGUAGCGGUGAAAUGCGCAGAUAUCAGGAGGAACACCGGUGGCGAAGGCGGUUCUCUGGGAAUGACCUGACGCUGAGGAGCGAAAGUGUGGGGAGCGAACAGG
rnacentral:rRNA from 1 species